UGUACAUGCAAGUACACACAAAGAUUUUGUCCAGGGUUGCAAAAAAGAAUCAAACAUAUAUUUGGAAAAGAAAUGAUCUGCCAUAAACUCCAUACACCUCACCCCAAAAGGAGAAUCCUCACAAUCUCAACUCCAGACCGUGAUCUACAGCCUUGUCAUGGUCUGAAAACUAAGACAACCAAGACAAAACUAAGGCAUAGAUUGUGAGUUUGAAAGGCUUUCCCCCUUAAUGCAACAGAGGAAAAGUCUCUUUGUGGGAAGAACCCCUCAGGUGUUUAGGACUGUCUUUGAAGCUGUAAGAACUCACAGAUACAUAGAAGAGGCUGUACAGCACCCAACAUUGUCAGAAAAU